CGGGCACCGACCCUGGCUGGGGUUGCUGGGCACCAGCACUCAUCACAAUAAAAAACCCACAGUGAAGAUGGGUCAGGGGUUUGCACUGCGCCGGGUCUGCUCAUCCCCAAAGCCACGGUUUUCCCAUCGCAGGUGGUCUGGAAGCACCGGACGGCGCGCGUGUGGGGUGGCCAGUGACGGGCUGCCACGGAGGUGUGCAGACCUGCAGGCCACAGACAUUCCCAGAGAGCCCCUGUGUGCAAAACAUGGACACACGGAUGUUUGUGAAGCUCUGGGAUGGUGUUUAGCAGGAGGAGUAACGGGGUCUUCAGAGAAUCAAUAAAAUAAAUGCAGCACCUGUUGGGUUAUUGAAACCAGUUGUUAUUAGGAAGGGAUUUAGGGCAGCUGAUGAAGAAACAGGAAGACAACAAAACUAAAUGUCCAAGAAUGAGGAAGCCGAGGAAGAAAGCAGCCGCCGUGUGGAGCCGCCCAGAGACCAGCACUUACCUGUGUCACUGUGCGGGGAGGGCAGGGUCUCGCCAGCAGCCGGUGGCACAUGCGGGCGGCACAGGGGCUGCGUGGUGGCCUCUGUGAUGUCACCUGGCAGAGGUGCCUGAGCUGGGCCUGGCGUGGAGGGCAUAGGCCUCACUCUCUGACUGCCUGACAGUCCCUACAGUGAGCGGGACCCCCUUAUUAAGGCUGUGGGGCAGAGUGGGGUGACAGGUGUUGAGGGGUGGGGCCCAGCCCCGGGCACCCGCAUGUUCCUCUCUGCCCCUGGGAGAAGUGUUGAGAGACGGAGCUCGGGAUCAGCUGGCAUAUCCACCAUGUUCCAGGGUCGACCAGGGAGCACAGAGCCCUGAACAUCCCUUCAACAGCGCGCCACACACUCCCGGCACAAACUCCAGACCACAGCACAGCACCCAGACGGCUGCAGCCACGCAGAAACCCACAACUGCCAGGACCGUGGGGUGACAGCCACGGUGGGCUCUGCAGGCCCCUCUGGUCUAAGAUACCAGAAGGCCACAUCCAGCAACCAAGGCCACCGGGCAGGACACGUCAGGAUGGAGGUGCAGUGAAGACUGCGGUGGACGCCCCCAGAGGUUCCCACGUGGCUUCCAGUAGAGGCUCUGCCAAACCCGGCCUGUGCAAGGGCAGAGACAAGGCCCAGCAGGGCUCGAGCAGGCCCAAACGCACGACGCAGCUGCUGUGCCUGGGUCUGAGCUGCACCCACAGUUUUCCUGGCGUCUUGUCCUCUGGAUGGGCCUCUGGAUGAACAUAAACUCCAGGGAGGCUGCAUAGAAUAUGCAGCUCUUCUUUAACGCUCCCUAGAGGAAGAAAGCCCCUCAGCAGGAAGUAUUGUUGACGUCGCCGCCACUACUAAUGAAAUAUUUACUGAAAAGCCAAAGCGAAACAUUUUUCUAGUUAAUUAAAACAGUGCAUCUUUCAAGCAAGCUCCCUCGAGGGGCCAGGCUCGGACGGACCCAAGCGGGCAGGCAGCCCGAGGUGCUCCUGAGUGGGGUCUCGACUGGGAAGGGGGCACCCAGGACGCAGGUGGGGUUCCUGCCGCACGACACUGAGGGGUGGGGGGACAGACGCUGCAGAGACCCUGUGAAAGGCCCCUCCCGAUGGGUAAACUCACACUUGGUACACGCUGGCAGGGGCAUCUGGGCCUGCACUCUGGAAUUGGUGGUGGUCCUGGGAAGGUUUUUUGGGCCAGGGACAAGAGUACUUGGGUUUGCUUUCUGGAAAAAUGAAAAAAGAGAAGUUUCUGUGUUCUCUCAGCUGUGUUAAACGCUGGCAGAAGUUGCCUCUCGGACCCUCCGCAGGGCUAUGACAGGCUGGAGAAGUGGGGGCUCGGGAGGGAGCUCAAACAGCCUGCAGACUCCGCCGCAGAGUCCGCACCCCUGGAAGGAGGCGUCGCGGAAGGCACUGCACCCACGCAUGGCUUCGAGGGCAGGAGGCAGGUUGCACAGCGAGGGGUCACAGGCUCCUCUGUCCCAGGUGGGACUGGGCGAUCCCAGACACGUGUGCUGUGGCCUCUGGGCCUCAUGCGGAGAGCAGAUGCCAGGGCCUGCAACUCUGACCUCUGAGCACACAGGCCGGCCUCAGGGAAGGGUUGUUCUGGCUGUGGGAACCUGAACUCAAAAUGGCCUCCGUUUGCUGCAGACACUGCCCGCCUGCGCCGGGGACUCAGCCCAGGCAGCUUUGCACACACCUCAGCACCACCCACCCUCAGGCCUCAGCCGCGCUACCCAGCGGGCGCUUUUGCCCAGAACGCCUGCUCAGAACACCGUGAGCCACUGCCCGGCGCUGAGCCGGGGCCUCCAGAACGUGAACCAAGCGGCUGCAGCCCAGGCCCAGGGCCACCGGCAUCGCCCCAUGGCAGCUGCAGGACCUGGAGUGGGCAGGGUCCAGGCCAGGGAGCGGGGUAGCCCUCACCCAGGAACUCUGCCCCAGGGGGUCUCUUCCUAAAAGUGCUGGAGUUGAUGGAUCUGGUUAGAGCAGCAGAGCCCAGCCCACGGCUCUCCAGGAGUCUGGGGCCCUCAGUGAGGUCUGUCGAUGGGGACUAGGAACUGGGGAGAGUCAGGUGGAAGGGAAUGUUCCAGAAUGCCUAUUUGAGAGACUCAGAACAAACGUGUUUCUUGUCCUUUGUGCCGUGGCCGGGCAUCGUGGAGAAGCUGCAUCCAGGGCGGGCCCAGCCAGGCAGCGCCUGCCUCCCCACUGCCAGCCCCUGAGAUGGUCUCAUCCGCUGGGCGAGCAGGCCAGGGCUGCCCGUCUCCACCUUUGUGCUGGACCAUUUACAAUCAAAGUGCAGCAUCGAGAUACCCAGGAAAGAGCCAGGAACAGGCCAGGAAGCUGCUGCCCCACCACUGACCCCGCCGCUCUCCUUCCCUCCUUCCUUCCCGCUGGGCCGGGCACAGGUGGAGCUCACCGCCGUCCCCCUUCAUCCCUCGGCCCCUCCAAGGCUCAAGGACUGGAGGCCGACUGGGCAGCAGACACGUCACCAUCACCACGCUCCCCGUCGCCAUGGUCACUGUCACCACGCUCCCUGUCACCACAGUCCCCGUCACCACGCUCCCCGUCGCCACGCUCCCCCUCGCCACGCUCCCCGUCGCCACGCUCCCCCUCACCACGCUCCCCCUCGCCACGCUCCCUGUCGCCACAGUCCCUGUCGCCACGCUCCCUGCGGGUCUCCCCAUCCCCCGUGCAGCUGAGGGGGCCGCGUGCGGUUCUCUGAGUCUUUGGAAUGUGCAGGCACCUGUGAGGCAACGCCACCUUGGAAAAAUUUGCACGGUUCUGGCCGGGGCUGCCAGCCUCCAAGGACAUCUUGAGGCCAGCAAGGAGGGGUCCAACCAUUUCUCAUGUAUGGCCACACACCACUUCCGUUCACAGAGACCCUAGCCACUCCGGGCGCCAGGUGCUGACGUGCCACAUGGGCAUCUAGUAGACACAGAUGCCGUAUGGGGGUCUGGUAGACACGGAUACCGUAUGGGGGUCUAGUGGACACAGAUGCCGUAUGGGGGUCUAGUGGACACGGAUAUGCCGCAUGGGGGUCUGGUAGACACGGAUGCCGCAUGGGGGUCUGGUGGACACGGAUGCCGCAUGGGCGUCUGGUGGACACGGAUGCCACAUACGGGUCUAGUAGGACAGCGGGACCCACAGGGAGCGUGGUGACAGGGACCGUGGUGACUGGGACCGUGUGCAGGGACCCGCCCUCCUGCUGCUGCAUCAACGUUCGGGGGUGGGGGGGCACCAGGUGCUCAGGGAGACCCGGCGGAGCCUCCACCUCCCAGGCCCAGGGGCCGCGUCCUCUUUGUCAGCCGGGGAUCAUCACAGCCAGGGGGCUCUCCCCCGCCGGAGCCAGAGUCCAGAACGCGCUCCAGAAGCCGCGACAUGUCUGGUGCCCCGGGACUGUCUCUGGUGUCCGCAGCUCUCGUUUGGGGAGAAAAGGAUUUCUCUGCUGAAUGCUCUUCCCCCACAUUAAAAUCCAGGUUGUUGAUCUGAUUCUUAGCACCAUGAUUUU